UAAAGUACGGAUUAGGCAAUUGUUUGUAAUUGUAAAUGAAAAUCUUUUCCAUGACUGUUUCUUACUUUCUUGGAAUUUUGAGAUUUUCAAUGUCUUUUAAAAUAUUUCACUGAUUUGCUGAUUAGGUUCCCAAACUUUGCACGUGCGCAAACCACCUAGUUAUCUGACAUACUUUUCGCAUCCCACCGAUGAAAAAUUGAUUUAAAAAAUCAUUUACAUAGUGUUACAUACCUAAUUCUUAAAAAAAACGAAAGAAAUUGUAAAAAUCUCUAUUAGAUUUAGUAGUGCCUAAAAUAUAAUUAGAGUAAGAAUAUUGCAAAUUUUAGAAAUUUGUUGGGAAAUAAUCCUGAGCGCAACUCAAUUGAUUUAAAAAAGCAACAACUUAGAAACUUUUUUUCAUUUAACGUUAUAUGCAUGCAUGCAUAGCAUAAAGGUUUUUGCUAUUCUGGACCUUGCACCUCAUGAGUUUUUUUUAUUAUUGUAAAUUUUAAUUUUAAACUAACUCUUCAUUAAGUGCAAUAUUUGCAAGAAUUUGUGAAGGAACAAUCGCAGAAAUUUGCGGACAAAAUAUCAGAGGAAUUUCUCGAGCAACUUGGAGGUACUUGGAGAAAUUUCUGACGGAACCCUUGAAAUAAUUCUAGAGGAAUAUUCGUGAAUAAAUCUCCGGAGAAAUUCUUUGAGGAAACUGCGGUAAAACUUUUGGUAAAAUAUUCAAAGAAAUCUUUAGAGAAAUCUGUGACUCUAAUGAUAUACAUACUAUGAUAUUUUUUUUGGAUCUUUUAAAUAUUUUUUUUUGUAUCGGUAGUAUCAAUUUUACACUGCGAGAAACAAGUAUAAAGACAGAGCCGUUUUCUAUACAAAAUAAUCAUGUUCAGGGGUCAAAAUCUCUUUUCUCGGGUUUCGAUUGUUAUGGCUGCCACCUUAACCCUCUACUUCCCAUGGUUGCUCUAGAGCACCAUCGAUUUUCGGCGAACUCCGGACAAACGAAAUUAGAUAAAUAUGAUGCAAUAAUUUUUAAAAUAUGGUUAUAACCUCAUAAGGUUAAGCCAACUACUUACUAUUUGUUUCAAUAGUUGAACUAUUGAUAAACAAACAAAAACCUGUUGGUAUACAACCAACAUUUUUUUCAUUGAUUUCGAAAAAUUUAGCCAAUUUGCAAUAACUUUUGUUCUACGACUUUUUUCGGAAGUCGUGGGAAGGAAAGGGUUAAAAUAACUAGAAUUUUGACCAGUAGUAUAAAUUAUCAUCCAUGCAGACGUUUACAUAGAUUUUUCAGAUUUAAAUAAAUUUUACGAUUUCCAUACCACGAGCUGCAUCAGCUGCUGAGAGAACCAACCAUCGACCACACCGCGAAAAUCGGAAGGCUACGGUGGGCGGGUCACAUCAUCAGGAUGACGGAUAGCAACCCGACUAAGAUGGUUCUCGACAGCAAUCCAACCGGUACAAGAAGACGUGGUGCGCAGCGAGCUAGGUGGGACGAUUUGCGGACCCUUCGCAGAGUGCGGAAAUGGAGACACAUAGCCAUGGACCGAGUAGAAAGUCAAAUUUUCUGUGAGAGUAAGCAGGCCAGCACAAAUUCGUGCAGAAAUUCAUUGGGGUGUAUCCCCAGCGUUCUUUGUAUAGUGCAUACAUUACUAUGAGCCAUUUUACGAAACGACAACAUAGUGUUGAUGAUGAUAUUGAUUUUCACGUGUUUGGACGCGAGCUCCUGUCAAAUUUUCAUUCAUAAAAUCGGCUCGUAAAAUGGACUAUUAAGUAGUAAUAAAGUAUUUGGUUUUGUUACAGUACCUACGCAUUUUCAAACUAAUCACAAGGAAGGAUUCUGAUUGAAAGGUUCCGCUUGUAACGUGUUCCUUUGUCAGCCAAAAUCAAACCCCUAACGAAAAAGUCAAGAAAUGAAACCGAUAUUAAUCAUGCAUCCUAACCCUAGUCCUUAUUGGCUCAAGCUAGUGAACACCGAAAAAAGAUUAGGAAUACUAAUCCUGCUUUCCUUGUUUUAAGAUCAUUUACAAGAUCAGAACCAGACCGAGACGUAUAACUUUUAACAAGGUAUGAAAUGUAAUAAGGACCAAAGUUGUUUCUUUAAUUACUAAAAUAUACUGUUCUAUAGUUGGAAGCAGUUAGGGCUAUAGUUUUCAAUUGGCUUCUUUAGUGGUGUUGAGAUAAUUCCAUAUUCCGAAUCUACAUGCCAAACUGAGCCGAAAUCCAAAUUUUCAUGAAUUUUGGUGCCCGCGAACCAAUUUAAAAAUCGAUUCAAAGUUUGUAUGGGAGCGAGUUGUCGAAUCACCCCUCGUUACAUUUUGUACUGGGCGGAGCUGUCAAGCAGUUGCCCAGCUGUCAAAAGGUGAUUUCAAAAAAUCUCUUUGUAAUUGAAUUUAGGUAUCAAAAUGAAGUUCUAAAAAUCUGAAAAAAAAUCAUACUGGCUUAGAAAAAGGUGCUCUUUCGUAUAAAAUCAAAAAAAAUCAAUACAUUAUUCUUAAUUUAAAAACCCAAUUGGUAGAUCUUUCACCGUAACGCAACCCGAAAAGGUGAUCCACCCACGUUACGGGUUCUGUUAAAGAUCAACAUCUUACCACCUGAACCAUUCAUCGAUCAGCACGGGCCACCUUGAAUUGGGGUUCCCUGUUUGGUGGACUUUAGCACCGGAACAGGGGGCCAGUAGUUCUAUUCUAAGCUGGCAGCUACAAUGACACGUCCGGUUCGUCUCACUUCUCAAAUCUCAAUUCUCUUCUCACAUUCUUCUUCUUUUUUUUCUGGACAACUAGCACCGUUCGGCGCCAGUUGUGUUUUUACGUCGGUUGGGUCUAGGAGCUAAACCUUAAAUUCCGACGCCCCAGGGAGACAGCCACCACACCUGAGGACCCUACAUAUCGAACCCAUCAACACAUGGGCCGGGACCUACGGCUUUACCUCCAAUCCGAGGGAAGGCGUGAUCACGGAUUUCAUGUCUCAGAAAAACCCCUCGACGUCGACGGGAAUUGAACCCCGACCGACUGGGGCGAGGCAACCACUACACCACCGACGCCGACCUCUUCUCACAUUAAACCGUGGCGUAAUCUAUAGACGUUUUUUUAGCUAAACAAUACAGGCGAAACAUGUCUAAGGGGCGAUUUCUUCACCCUGGCUUAAGCGUUAAGCCAGGUUUAACUGUAUGGGUAAGCCUAGCUUACCGGUUAAGCCGAGGUGAAGAAAUUGGCCCUAAAGGUUUCUGCUCCCUAGUGGAGUGGAGACGCGCGAUAGAAUUUUCUUUUUGGCUCGUUCUUGCGUCGAAAAGUGGUCGGUUGUUAACGGCGGUUUGUGUAUAUUGAUCCAUUGUCAAAUCAUAUCACCAACCAUAGGUGACUCCCGGACUGACAAUGUACCUUACCCUACUAACAAAAAAUUCCUUCCUGAGACAAACGUGGAGAUGCAGCGAUUCGCGGUCUUUUUAACAACGUUUGUCUUACUAACAUUCCCUUCCAUCCUCGAUGACCGUAAGGACGUGGCCGGCGCCGUUAUUGACCUUAUUAAAGUUGAGAGCUCUCGACCUGUGUACAUUGAGAAUAGUAAGCUAGUCCCAAGCCCUAUUCAUUGAUUCCUUGUGCAAUUUCGAUUGCUCUGGUCAAUCACGGAGUAGCAACUACGAAUUGUGCGGUCAUCUAUGCUCAUGCUCAUGCUCAUG